rnacentral:rRNA from 1 species
AUUGAACGCUGGCGGCAGGCCUAACACAUGCAAGUCGAGCGGAUGAAGGGAGCUUGCUCUUGGUUCAAGGGGCGGACGGGUGGGUAAUGCCUAGGAACCUCCUUGUUAGUGGGGGAUACGGCCGGGAAAGGGGCGUUAAUACCGCAUACGUCCUGAGGGGGAAAGUGGGGGACUUUCGGACCUCCCGCUUUCAGAUGAGCUUAGGUCGGAUUAGCUAGUUGGUGGGGUAAAGGCCUACCAAGCCGACGAUCCGUAACUGGUCUGAGAGGAUGAUCAGUCACACUGGAACUGAGACACGGUCCAGACUCCUACGGGAGGCAGCAGUGGGGAAUAUUGGACAAUGGGCGAAAGCCUGAUCCAGCCAUGCCGCGUGUGUGAAGAAGGUCUUCGGAUUGUAAAGCACUUUAAGUUGGGAGGAAGGGCAGUAAGUUAAUACCUUGCUGUUUUGACGUUACCAACAGAAUAAGCACCGGCUAACUUCGUG